rnacentral:rRNA from 1 species
GACGAACGCUGGCGGCGCGCUUAACACAUGCAAGUCGAGCGAUGAAAUUUCGACAGAUCCCUUCGGGGUGAAGAUGAAAUGGAUUAGCGGCGGACGGGUGAGUAACACGUGAGUAACCUGCCUUUGACAUUGGGAUAGCCUCGGGAAACUUGGAUUAAUACCAAAUGACACUAACUGAUCACAUGAUCAAUUAGUCAAAGAAAUUCGGUCAAAGAUGGACUCGCGGCUGAUUAGCUAGUUGGUGAGGUAACGGCCCACCAAGGCGACGAUCAGUAGCCGGCCUGAGAGGGUGAGCGGCGACAUUGGAACUGAGACACGGUCCAAACUACUACGGGAGGCAGCAGUGGGGAAUAUUGCACAAUGGGGGAAACCCUGAUGCAGCGACGCCGCGUGAGCGAAGAAGGCCUUCGGGUCGUAAAGCUCUUUUAUGAGGGAAGAUAAUGACGGUACCUAAAGAAAAAGCCCCGGCUAACUACGUG